CAACCCUAAGUUAUCCUCACCUCAAGCUUUGUGGAUUCUCAAAAACCACAAGUCGAGCUUGAUGGUAAGGCAUGUGCGGUUGUUCGACAAAACGGUCUUAUGGUACUUUGUGAUACACUGUUUAGCCAGGUUGGCCAGUGGUUUAUAAUUGGAUCGUCCAGUUCCUUCAUCAGGACCAUCAUAACUUAACUUGAAUACAUAUAAUCUCCGAUGAAAACAACCGUUUUUCCGGCGUGGAGGCGGUUUAUACUUUGUAAGGUGAGACAUCAUGGUUUUGUU
rnacentral:lncRNA from 1 species